rnacentral:rRNA from 1 species
GUGAGGAAUAUUGCGCAAUGGAGGCAACUCUGACGCAGCCAUGCCGCGUGCAGGAAGAAGGCGCUACGCGUUGUAAACUGCUUUUAACCGGGAAGAAACCCCAGGACGUGUCCUGGGUUGACGGUACCGGAGGAAUAAGCACCGGCUAACUUCGUGCCAGCAGCCGCGGUAAUACGAAGGGUGCAAGCGUUAUCCGGAUUCAUUGGGUUUAAAGGGUGCGUAGGCGGAGCGUUAAGUCAGUGGUGAAAUCCUGCAGCUUAACUGUAGACGUGCCAUUGAUACUGGCGCUCUUGAGUGCGCUUGAAGUGGGCGGAAUGUGCCGUGUAGCGGUGAAAUGCUUAGAUAUGGCACAGAACACCAAUUGCGAAGGCAGCUCACUAAGGCGAUACUGACGCUGAGGCACGAAAGCGUGGGGAUCGAACAGGAUUAGAAACCCCUGUAGUCC